rnacentral:rRNA from 1 species
UGGGGAAUUUUCCGCAAUGGGCGAAAGCCUGACGGAGUGACGCCGCGUGGGGGACGAAGGCCUUCGGGUCGUAAACCCCUGUCAGAGGGAAAGACGGGUGUCGGCGCGAUAACCGCCGAUAUCUGACGGUACCUUCAGAGGAAGCCCCGGCCAACUCUGUGCCAGCAGCCGCGGUAAGACAGAGGGGGCAAGCGUUGCUCGGAAUCACUGGGCGUAAAGGGCGCGUAGGCGGGGCGGCAAGUCGGUCGUGAAAUCCUCCGGCUCAACCGGAGAACGUCGGCCGAUACUGCCGUUCUUGAGGGAUGCAGAGGAGACUGGAAUUCCCGGUGUAGCGGUGAAAUGUGUAGAGAUCGGGAGGAACACCGGUGGCGAAGGCGGGUCUCUGGGCAUCUCCUGACGCUGAGGCGCGAAAGCGUGGGGAGCAA